GCGGGCUCGUUUUCUGGCACAUCCGUUUUUCUUUCUCCUAUCCUCGCCCCCGACUUCAACCCUUCCUUCCUUUACUUCCUUACCGCCGUUCAGUAGAUCCUGGAUACUCCGACCGAGUCUACAUCUUCUGCAAGAAAUGACACCGAUCCGAAAAACACGGUUCACGCUCGAACACUCUGAUAUCCCCGGUAGCCAGAGACACCGAGUUCGAGUUUUCGACGUGCAUCAAGAUCAGUGGUACACGUGGAAGGCGCACGUGCUCGAUAAUAGCACCACCGGUCAUGUACUUAUAUCUCAAGAACAAACUGCACCCGCUUCCCUGCUGCCCAGUCAUUUUUCCAUUUAACUAGCCAGAUCGUAAGGGCAUCCGCUCGUACGUGUUCAACCCCUUUAGUUGUUUCAAUGAUUUUUAUCUCAAUACAUCGAUACAAUGUUCAGUUCUCCUGCUGAUGCAUUCGGCAACAGAUUCUUAAGGGGGGUGGUAAUGUAAUUGUGCUUUAGAAAGGAUAAGAGGCUGGUGUUUAGUUCGUUUGUUGGGGUGCGGUGUUUUCAUCGCGUUGCACCGUUAAACUAGAUCGCGAGUGCCUUUGACUUUUCUUUCAGUUUUUAAUCGGGUCAAACAGGUAUUUGACCGCAAAACGGUCAUCGAUGCUUAUUAUCUCUUUUUGCAUCUACUUGUUGCAUUUUGUAGAUUGAUCAGCGAAUUAACUUGCCAAUUUGUUAAUUCUUACAGUACGUAUGUAGAUACAUAAUUUUCAAACAAAUUUAUAAGUAAUCUACUGAUUAAAUAGUAGAGCUAAGGUCAUUGAUUUUCAAUUGCGUUUAUAGAUCCUCUUUAUAUCUAUCUACAAUAUACUAGGCAGGCAGCCUACAAUAUGCAAUCGAACAGUACAAAAUUUUAAUUAGGUACACAAUGAUAAGAAAAAUUAAAUUUUAGUUUGUUUUUAAACAUUUCUUAUGUACUUUCGGAAUGAAAACUUGGAGAACCAAAUAUUUAACAGUAAUUUCUUGCUUCUUCUAGUCAUUAAAGAAGCAUAUUUCUUAAUCCUUUUAAUAACUCGAAUAACAAUAAUUAUACUUCUAUAUAUCUUUGUGUCGCGUAAAACGUUUUAUGCGGGCUUUGAAACUAUGCAGACUUUCAAACGACCUGAUACUCGUGUUAUAAAGAAUUCGUGCGAUCAGAGGAGAAUAAUUGGCACCAUUUAUCACAGAUUGCAUAAUUGAAACGAGAAAAGUUAAAAGCUGGCGCCAGAAUAACAAUAUAACAGAAAUUUCAAAUUCCAACAGGUCACAGGUGGUUAAUUGAAACACGGCCAAAACGUUUUCUCUCUAAUUUAUUAUAAUUUUCAUUAAUACCUUUGAAUAAAAAGUAAAGAAAGCGACAGGCCAAUUAAUCAGUUAAAAAAUGACCUCCGUAUUUUAUUUAAAAACUUUCCUUGCACGAGUUUAUCUAUUCUGAAAAUAGAAAAGAAGGAAAAAUAAAAGAACAACUAUAUAAUAAAUAAUAUGUUUAUUUAAUGAAAAACAGAAAUAGAAAUCUCCACAAAGAUUACUUGAAUAUCAAAAGAUAUUCAAUAACGUCGUCAUUUCGACGAUCAAAACAUCGAGAGCAUUCUAAAAUAACGAACGCUUAUAAUUAUCACAAGUACAAACUCAAUUAAAGUGUCAUUAACCAACAAGUUAUUUUUCUGGCCAAGGAUCAACGUUAUAAAUACAGAUAAGUAGCAUCAGGAAGUUUACAAGUUCAUUUCGCAAUAAUUUAAUUUAUUCUUUUACUCGCUGAUUCAUCGGUUUAUAUGCAAUAAUUAUGCAACAGAAUGUAAGCUGGCUAGUCAUCAUUUCAUAGAUAUAAACGCGUCUAAUUGAAAUAUUAAAAAAUAAUACAUUCAUUUUGAAUUCACCUCCACUACUAAAUGUUUCCUCUUGACGACUCUGAGCUUCUAGAACGCCGUUUAUAUAUAAAGUAUUAAAAAAUAACUGGUAAAAGAUGAAUAUUGCUUUUUACAAUUAAACGUAAAUUAUUCGCUAUAAUUAAUUAGCACAACACUUAUCCUAACGCUAUAAUGCUCAUAUGGAAACUUAGCUUACUAAAAUAAAAUUAAAAAAGCAGGCGAUAAAAUUAAAAAAGUAUAAAAUCUAAAAUAGAAUAAAAACCAAUGGAGGCAACAUUGAUCAACUUGCAUUAAUACUAAUUAAACAAUUAAAUUCUUCACUUUCUCCACUGCGAUACCAUAUCCUUGACCAAAUGAAAUGCACCCAAUGUCUUUCGUGAUGCUCGUUGAAUUUUCCAUGGAAAGAAGCAACUUUAGUUUGUUAUCUAUUAGGUACAAGUAUUGCAAUGCCAUUGUUUUAGACCAGAUAGGAAAUACUAUGAAUACGUAGACAGUAGUGGGAUUCGGAAUGCAUGGAAAUAGACCAGUUGCGCAACCUGCUUGGUAAAUUAAGAUUCUGACGCGGCCGGAUGCCAUACCGAUGUUUAUUGCGAGAUUUAAGACAACGCGUGCCUAUGCAAAUAAGCGCUUAAAAGAUUAUCAAUCAAUUAAUUCGAUGACAAGUCAAUUUCGGCUUUGACACUUUUCCAUUAUUCAUUUUUCAAUGCCAAUAUCGGCUCCCCUUUUCUUACGAUCGCAAUCGCAUUAUUCAUUGUUACACACAUAUGUGUCCUAUAAAAAAGAUUGCAUGUAAACGUAAUGAGAAAUUAUUUUCUUGAACGAAGGGGACGAAGAUGAGAAAUAAACAGAAAUACUUAACUUCAUUACUUAAUAAAUUUUUUAGAGAAAUAAAGAAAAAGAAGUUGCUUCGUUUCAUUAGCAAUAUCAUUUGCUCUAAUGAGGAUCAUAAUAAUGACAGUAAGAUUACUUAUAGGUAACAAUUGCUUCGUUUUCUGUAAUUUUAAAAUCUCUAUUACAAUAUAAGAAAAUGUUAAUAUAUGUAGCUCUUUCUAUAAUUAGUAUAUUUUGAUAAAAGACAAUGGAAAAUCUUUUAAGAAUAUAAAAACAGUACACAUUAUAAUAGAAAUAGCAACAAACGAACUUGAUAUAAAAUUAGUAAUAAUCGAUGCAGGAAACACUUUUCCGUAAUUUGAAUGCUUUACAAAUUACAUAAUUGAACAUUAAGUUAUGUCAUAAACUGAGUUGGCAAACUCUGAACAACUCUAGUACAUUCAACCAGAGUUCCUAAAAUAUGAUCAAAAAAAAAAUAAAACGUCUAAGUUUCUAAUUAUAUGAAAAAUUAUAACAGAAAGGAAUAUUUAUGAAAUAUUAAUAAUUUAGAAACGAUGGCAAGAUUUAUCUAUAAAAGAGUUCCCACGUAAUACGUGUUAAAUUUCAAAAGAAGAAAAAACUGUUGAAUCACCUCGCGUCAUUAACAAUCAAGAAUGUAUAAAUAAUUAUACGAAAAAUAGCUUUUGCCGUGAAGGUAACGUGAAAGAAAGCACGUGAUUCAUUUGAUCAAAAUUCCCUGAAGUACGUAUUAUUACGUUAAAGUCGGUCGUACGAAUGCGGACAAACGAUGCUGAAGAGGAAAAAGAAGAUGAAGAAGAUGAAGAAGAAGAAGAAGAAGAGGAGGAGGAGGAGGAGAACACAAGACAGGACAGGACAAGACAAGACAAGACAAGACAAGAAAGAGGCGUCGAGGCCUUAGAAGACAGACACCGAAGUAAGAGCAGGAGAGACCGAAUCUAAGAUUAUUUCGGGAUUGGCCGGAGAUAAACCGGGCCAACAUCGAGCGAACGAAGCAAAGCGAAACGUAGCGAACGAAGGGAACGGAGCGAACGACGCGAACGGAGCCUUGAGGUUUGACUCAUCCCUCUGGACUCGAAAUUUGGCUUGCUCGCAACAUUACGCACAACACAACAUAAUAACGCCGAAAUAUUUCGACGGUUGCCUGCACUUUUCCCGACUGAAUUACGUCAACCAUUCUACCGAGCAAAGUUUCUCCUCUACACGAAUCCCACGCAAAAUCGUACAUUUCUCGAUUAAUUUCCCAUUUAUUAGUGCUUUUAAUAUUAUAUUAAAGAUAAAUUAAAUAUCCUUGCUUUGAAAAUAAAACAAUAAAUUAAGAAUUUUAAUUAAGGAAUGAUUAAGAAGAGAUAGUAUUUUAAAUUGGAACUCAUUUUCUUUGCAAGCUUCGAUCAUAUCUAGUUGAGAGUUAGGUCGCUUUUAGGGAAUGGGCGUGCCCCAUUUGAAGGAACGCGUGAAAUAUUCGUUAAUUUUAUUUGAUAAAAAUUUUCUUAUGUCUAGAAGUGUUAUCCUUGCAAACUAUUCACGUGUUCCUUCGAUGCUUUACAAAUUAAAAGGUACAGGUUACAAGUUAUAAAGCCAUAAGAAUCUAUCCUUUGGAGCUAAGGAUCGUCUCCAUAUCUUUAGACAAAUUUUUUUUAAUUAUAAUAAACCGCCAAAAUUUGGCAUUUAACAAAGAAACGAUAAAUCCGUUUUUCUAUAUUUCUAUAUUAUCUAAUCGUACUUGACGUCAACGAGUCGUGUUGAACGGAUGACCAAGCUGUGGUGAGCGAAUAACUUAGCAGAGGGAAUGAGAGAAGGAACUGCAAUUUCUUGCAAGGUCGUCGAAAAGUUAAACAUCGAAGAAACGCGGGUUCAUAGUGUUACGGUCGAGGAAGGAACUUCUGUUACCGCAAAACGAAAAACAAUUUGGCUAAGAGACAAGAGGAACAGUGGUGUUGCAUUACAUCUCGUCGAAAGGGAAUGAGCGCCAACCACCACCAACCAGUGACGACCCACUUGUUUCGAUACUUUGCAGCCAAUGCUCCGUGAACUAUUGUUUCGAAAUUUUUUUUUAUAAAUAAAAGAACCGCUACCUCGCUGGGAGGAAAGAAACAUUAUACCGAUCAGACUCCUUUGUAUAAAAAAAGAUAUAUAGACAAACAAUGUAAAAAAUCAAUAUCUUCUUUUGUCUUCAAUUUCCGUUUUGUUCCGACACUUUUCCAUUUUUCAUUUCUCAAUGGCAAUCAUCGGUUCCCCUUUUCUUACGUGAAGAUGGGAGAUAAAUAGAAAUAUUUAACUUCAUUCUUAAAUAAAUUUUUUAGAAAACUAAAGAAAAUGAAGUUGCUUCAUUUCAUUAGCAAUAUCAUUUGCUCUAACGAGGAUGAUAACAAUAACAGUAAGAUUAGUUGUAGGUAACAAUUGCUUCGUUUUCUGUAAUUUAAAAAUUUCUAUUACAUUGUAACAAAAUGUUAAUAUACGUAAUUCUAUAAAGCUCCACGUGGUACAUGAGUCGGCACCGGAAGUGGAGGCGUUUCAAAGAUUUCAAAGUCAUCUUCAUUUUUUGAAUGGAAUUGCAAAAAGGUAUUAAGGAACUUGGGUCAAAAAUUGAUUAACUCAAAAGAUAUCUCAGGGAGAGACAGGGAGAGCUUAGUAGUCUCUCCCUAAGAUAUCUUUUGAACUAAUCAAUUUUCGACUAAAGUACCUUCAUAAUUUUUUGUAGAGAAUAACAAGAUGCAAGAUUUGACAUCGACAGAAGUACAAAAUUCCAAAAACAAUUUUCCAAAUUGAAAGAGCCUAGGUCUUUUCUUAAGAUAUCUUUCAAACUAACCAAUUUUCGAUUCAAGUACCUUAAUAAUUUUUGGUAGGGAAUAACAAUACGCAGGCGAUUGACGUCAAGGGAAGUAUAAAAUUUGCAAAAAAAUUUUUUAAAUUGGGAGAACUAGUCUCUCCCUAAGAUAUUUUUCGAAUCGAUCAAUUUUCGACCCACGUACCUUAAUACCUUUUUAUAGACAAUAAACAGAACGCUUUGAUGGAUGUAUAAUAGAGUGCAAUAAUUUAUUUUGAAAAAUUUAAUUACAAUUGUGUGUACAAUAUAAUACAUCUCAUGUAAAUUCAAAAUUAAAAAAGAAAGAAGAACAGAGAUAUUCCAUUAAGUUAUAUUCUUGUCCAUUCCUGGCGCGAAAAGCAGCGACUGUUUUGAAGUACACCUUGAAGAAGUGUUACAUAAUCUCUAUUGCCAGAGACUAAUUUCAUUCCAGGUUCCACCAGAGCACCACCCUCGUUCCUUUCCUUUUGCUUUUUCUUGCCCCACCUUCAUCAUAGGGUACUUUAAUUCUUGUUUAGCUACCGCCUUUCCGUACCGUACUGGGACUAACUAUGGUUAUUUUCGUUCGUUAGCGACAGUAUAUAGUCGCUACAACUUGAACGUAACACAUGGUUAUUAUAAUAAUAAAUUCCCGCUUUACCUUGGUAAUGACACGAUACAAAGAAAUAUAUCUAAAAUUAUAAUAUUAGACGUACUCAAAUAUAAAAGUUACAUAUUUUUAAACAAAAUACGAUACAAAAUGAUAUAUAUUGGUUGCGUAUGUGAUUAAAUAACAAGACAUGAAAUUGUCAAAAUUGUGGUAAAAAAAUCACCUUCUUUUUUAUGAAUUUAAAAUUUUUAACAUUUGUACAUUUUGAAACACUGCAGCCAUCUAUCAACACGCAGGUUAACCAAUCGAAGCGCAUUCAUAAUAGUACCCAUAGACAAUGAGUUAGUUUCCAUCGAAGCAUUAAUUCGCACCAGUGACUAUAUCUAUAGUCACUGUUCGCACCUAGUGCGACGUAGGACCAAAUUUAAGUCGAUGGAAACGUGACUGACUGCGCUCAUUUCACUCCCGUUUCGAUUCACAAGCUUUGACGGAGUGGUAGCGAUUUUAUACAAAAUUUAAUCGGUGGAAACGGUUGAAAUAGAUUCAGAAUAGAUAGUGCCAACCUUUACUUUUUAUUAUUCAGUUACCAAAGUGGAAAAUAAACGUAAUAUAUGGUCAUAUGAUGAAACUUUGGCAUUAAUUAAUAUUUUAAAAGAGAAGGAAAUUUUGAAAUUCAUGGACAACAAGAGAUUUCGCAUCGCUUUGGAAACAGUACAUUAAAUUCGAUGCGCACCGGAGCAGGAUCGGAUUUAAGACUUCGGUAGAAACUAACUCAAUUCGGUGCAUGCAAUAACUACAAAUCCAAAAAGACUGGACAUGCCUUUGUGUUUAAAGGGUCUUUAAUUUGGGCCAUGGAAAGGGGCACCAUCUACUCUAUCCUAGUAUAAAAAUGUGAGUCAACGGCCUGUAGCCACUUAAGCCAUACCGGUACCCCACGUAGUACCUACCUGGUUAUCCAGGAUAGGCGGGAAGGUGAUAGGCGCGUCCCCAGGUGGCGGAUAGGGAAAUGCUCGCCAUGCA